AGACAUCAGAUACAAUAUAAUUUUUUUUGUACAAACAAAAUCUAUGAUAUCGUGCCAUUCUAUGAGUGUUUAGAAAUAAGUUUGGUAUCUGCUACAAUGUACAUAUAACUUGGUCAUCCUAAAGAAACUUUAUCUUGCAUAUUGCUUGGUUACAAGAUAAGAACUAAUAUGUAUUACAAAUAUCUAGGGAAAUCUUUUGAUUGUUUUGUACAUAUAUUAUCAGAGAUGCCAAAUAGCAGGUUGCUUCAAACUAGGGGAACUGGCUGGUUCAUAGAUGGUAGAACGUUCAAUCUUCGACGAUGCUCAGGAAGCAAACAAGGGGAAUUAGAAACCCAACAGUUAAUGGAGAAAUCAGGUCACUUUGCAUCUACUUUGCCUCAGUUUUUUCAGAAGUCAACAGAGAUUGUAAAAAAAAAAGAAACAUGAUCCUGCGGCGGUUGCCCAGACUUUUUUUCCGGGGUAGUAAUGUUUGGACGGGACAUGUCCCUCCUUUCGUAAUCACUUUGUAAUUUCUACUUGUGCUAUGUAAUAGACGCCUUACAUAAAAAGGCAGUAUGUUUUAUAGAUACUCCCUCUGUUGAGAAUAAUUAUCACUAUAACUUUCUUUAUGA